GUUUUAUAGUCAAAAUAUGUAAAAUAAACCUGAAAACCAUUAUUCUGCUUUUAAAAAUCUAAAUUUCUGUUAAAAAAAUUAUCACUUUUGCCUUGUUAUUCUAUAGAUUGGGUUUUAACGACUUAUGUUUUUUUCUGUAUAUAGGUUUGCUUUGAGAUGAUAUCCUUGGAUUCAAUGGACAAACUACAUGUAGCAACCAGACAUGUUUUUAUUUCCAAGAAUGCUUGUAAUGAGCUGGUCAAAAAUUCAUAGGACACAGGGUGCUAACGAUGGUAAUUAUCAUUAAUAAUAAAAUAACAAAUCUAGUGAACAUACAACUAAUGAUAUUAAAUUGUUUUAACAGGUUUAUAUUAAAACAUAAUAAAUGUACAUGGAGAGGGUAAAUCAAAGAGGAAACGUGGAGAAGCAAGGUCUCCAAUCAUGCUUGUUUCGCUUGCUUAUGGAAAUGGGUCGUUUGUAGAAAGGGAUGCCUUUUAAACAUGUUAAAUGAAGAAGGAGACAAAGUAAAACGGAUUCAAAACCUGGAGAAUUGGAGCCCUUUUAAUGUCCUGCCCCUUGGCUGUGAAUAGUGCAAUUUUUAGAAAAUAUAUGUAGUUCGAUUCACGCUGAUGCAUGUAAGGUUGCAAUGCGAUGUGUGGUUAUUGUUAAGAGACACUUCUCUUUAUCAACGCUUAGGAAUAAAUCUCGAGGACCGUAGAGUAAUCCUCCAGAUCGUCUGACAAAUGGGAGAGAAUUAGAGUUCAGGUUGAUGGUACUGAAACAAUAUCUACAAUGGUGCUGC